AUUGAACGCUGGCGGCGUGCUUAACACAUGCAAGUCGAGCGGUAAGGCCCUUCGGGGUACACGAGCGGCGAACGGGUGAGUAACACGUGGGUGACCUGCCUCUAGCUCUGGGAUAAGCCUGGGAAACUGGGUCUAAUACCGGAUAUGACUCCACGGCGCAUGUUGUGGGGUGGAAAGCUUUUGCGGCUGGAGAUGGGCCCGCGGCCUAUCAGCUUGUUGGUGGGGUGAUGGCCUACCAAGGCGA
rnacentral:rRNA from 1 species